ensembl:lncRNA
GGGCAAUUAAAACUAAACUCUGACUCGGCCCUCCAGAUGGGCUAUGGCCGGGAAGAGGUCAGGGAGCAAGGGGGCCACGGGGAUCCGGGGCGUGGGACUCGGGCCCCGGCCUGAGUCUUAGGUAUCCGUAGCGCCCUCCUUCUUCCUCCUCUUCGCUGAAUACAGCUCACGGUAAGUACUGGUUCACACAGUUCGUUCUCGAGGUGCUCACUCUCUUUCUCUUCCUCCACAGGCAACGGCUGGGACACAAAAGCACAGUUAAUUCGGCUUGGUUUUGCUCUCACCUCUUCGCUGAUUACAGCUCACAGUAAGUACUGGUUCACACAGUUCGUUCCUUGGGUGCUCACUCUCUUUCUCUUCCUCCACAGGCAACGGCUGGGACACAAAAGCACAGUUAAU